rnacentral:lncRNA from 1 species
GGUUUCUCGUGCUUUAUCAUGUCAUAAUUGAUUUGGCCUUUCACUUUUUCCAACUGAUUUCGUUUUUGACGAAACCCCGUGUUUAUUAGCAAUGUUCUUGUUAGAAGGUACGCACACACGUCCGUGCUUUCGAUGGACCUUCCUAAAACACUGGCCGAGUCUUGUUAUCAUAACUUUCCCUCAGCUUUUCAAAAGAAGCAGAAAACAUGCUUCUGUUUAAUAUUUUUACCGGACAUUCACUUUCGUUUUAAUUCAAUGUAUGUUAUGAUAAAUCUCGAGCAAUGCAAAAAAAAUAUGACUAAAUGACACACGCUAAUUGGAUAAACGCAGAGAAGACCGAAAUGUUUUCAAACAACACGUGUACGGAAAACUCCAACAGGGACCCAUUUCAGCUACUUGAUGCAGGGAUCUAUUUUUAGGACGAAAGGAAAUUUCCAAUUAUAAAUAUUAUAAACAUGGAUUUACGACAGAUAAGGGUAAAUAACGCAAACAGUAGCCAAUUAAAGGGUUGAGAACUCAUGGUUUGGGCAUAUAAUUGGGUUUUCCUUUGAAAUAAUUGGGUUAUUGAACCCUGCAAUGGGCAAUUGCAUUGGGUUUUUUAUUAUUUUUAUUGCGUGAUCACGCAAAUACGCAGCUUAUCUGGAGCUCUGAAGUUUCAAUUUAUCUAUAUCAUUUAAAUUAUUUUCUUAAUUGUUCAUUUUUUU